rnacentral:rRNA from 1 species
AGUGAACGCUGGCGGUAGGCCUAACACAUGCCAGUCGAACGGCAGCACAGUAAGAGCUUGCUCUUACGGGUGGCGCGUGGCGGACGGGUGCGGAAUACAUCGGAAUCUACUUUUUCGUGGGGGAUAACGUAGGGAAACUUACGCUAAUACCGCAUACGACCUACGGGUGAAAGCAGGGGAUCUUCGGACCUUGCGCGAUUGAAUGAGCCGAUGUCGGAUUAGCUAGGUGGCGGGGUAAAGGCCCACCAAGGCGACGAUCCGUAGCUGGUCUGAGAGGAUGGUCAGCCAGACUGGAAGUGAGACACGGUCGAGACUCCUACGGUAAGCAGCAGUGGGGAAUAUUGGACAAUGGGGGAAAGCGUGAUCCAGCCAUACCGCGGGAGUGAAGAAGGCCUUCGGGUUGGAAAGCCCUUUUGUUGGGAAAGAAAAGCAGCAGGUUAAUACCCCGCUGUUCUGACGGUACCCAAAGAAUAAGCACCGGCUAACUUCGUG